CCUACGCGAGACAGCAGUGAGGAAUAUUGGUCAAUGGCCGGAAGGCUGAACCAGCCAAGUCGCGUGAGGGACGACUGCCCUAUGGGUUGUAAACCUCUUUUAUAAGGGAAGAAUAAAUGCUACGUGUAGCAUGAUGCCUGUACCUUAUGAAUCAGCAUCGGCUAACUCCGGGCCAGCAGCCGCGGUAAUACGGAGGAUGCGAGAGUUAUCCGGAUUUAUUGGGUUUAAAGGGUGCGUAGGCGGUUUUUUAAGUUAGUGGGUAAACGUCGGGGCUUCACCUUGAUUUGCCAUUAAUACUGUAAGACUCGAGUUCAGACGAGGUAGGCGGAAUAAGUUAAGUAGCGGUGAAAUGCUUAGAUAUAACUUAGAACUCCGAUAGCGAAGGCAGCUUACCAGACUGCGACUGACGCUGAAGCACGAGAGCGUGGGUAGCGAACAGGAUUAGAUACCCGAGUAGUC
rnacentral:rRNA from 1 species